GGGUUGCUAGCUCAACUAGGUAGAGCAACGGACUCUUAAUCCGUUGGCUGGGAGUUCGAUUCUCCCGCAACCCA
rnacentral:tRNA from 1 species